GAGCUUGACCAGGUUGUUGGGAAGGAGAGAUGGGUAGAAGAGAGAGAUUGUUCACAGCUAUCGUACAUUGAAGCAAUUCUCAAGGAAACACUAAGGUUACAUCCUCUUGGAACUAUGCUAGCACCACAUUGUGCUAUUGAAGAUUGUAAAGUGGCUGGUUAUGACAUAGAGAAAGGAACCACCGUUCUGGUGAAUGUUUGGACCAUUGGAAGGGACCCCAAG
rnacentral:misc_RNA from 1 species